AUUUAUUUGAGCAAAAUUCUCAAUGAUUAUUGCUUCACUUAAUCUCUUCUGUUCCUUUCUCACUUCUUCGUUUUCUGUUUUUCCAAUUUGAAUAUUUCUAUUGACAUUUCCUCAAACUUAGUGAUUCUAUCCUCAGUCAUAUUCAGUCUACUAACAAGGUCAUCAAAGGCUCUUCAUUUCUCUUACAGUGUUUUUGAUUUCUAGCAUUUCUCUUUUUAAAAAUUGUAGUAAUAGCAUUUAACAUGAGACCUAUUCUUUCAACAAACUUUUAAGUAUUAGCUAUAGACAUUUAAUUGUACAGCAGAUGUCUGGAACUUAUUCAUCUUGUAUAACUAAAUCUUUAUACCCAAUGAAUAUCAACUCCCCAUUUCCCCCUCCCCGCCGCCAGCCUCUGGCAACCAGUCUUCUUACUCUCUGUACGGGUUUGGCUUUGGCUAUUUUUAGAUACUUCAUGUAAGUGGAACCACUUAUAUGAAGCAUCUAAAAAAGUAUUUGUUGUCCUGUGACUACCUUAUUUCACAUAGUGUAAUGUCCUCCACAUUCAUCCAUGUUGUCUCAUACUGUAGGAUUUCCUUCUUUUCUAAGGCUGAAUAAUACUUCAUUGUUUGCAUAUAUUUUCUUUAUCCAUUCAUCUGUCAAUGGACAUUUAGAUUAUUUUCCACAUCUUGGCAUACAUAAAUAGAGUUCCUUAUCCUUAGUUCAGGUCUUCGUUAAAACCUGAACUUCUCCAUUACCACUGUAAUCUGUAACAUUAACAUUCUCUAAUGGAUCUCUCUGAAUCUGACCUUCCAUCAUUCAGUCUAACUAUUACAUUGUUAGUAGUGUAUUUUUCUAAAAGGCAAAAAUAAUAAUCCUUGGUAAUAGAUGAGUAGCUCAUAAGAGGCUUAGUCCAUUUUGUGCUGCUAAAACAGAAUACCACAGACUGGGUAAUUUAUAAUGAACAGACAUUUAUUGGCUUAUAGUUCUGGAGGUCGAGAAGUCCAAUAUAAAGUACUAGCAUCUGGUGACGGCCUUCUUAUGCAUCAUAAUGUGGUGGAAUACAUCAUAUGGAUGAGAGAGACAGCAAGAGGGGACAAAACUCAUCCUUUUAUAAGAAACCCACUCCUAGGCUGGCGCAGUGGCUCAUGCCUGUAAUCCCAGCACUUUGGGAGGCUGAGGCAGGCAGAUCACCUGAGGUCAGGAGUUCAAGACCAGCCCGGCCAACAUGGUGAAACCUCAUCUCUACGAAAAAUACAAAAAUUAGCCAGGCAUGGUGGCAUGCACCUGUAAUUCCAGCUACUCAGGAGGAUGAGGCAGGAGAAUUGCUUGAACCCAGGAGGCGGAGGUUGCAGUGAGCUGAGGUCACACCACUGCAUUCCAGCCUGGGCAACAGAGUGAGACUCCAUCUAAAAAAAAAAAAGAAAAGAAAAAAAAGAAAAGAAAAGAAACCCACUCCUGUGAUAAUAAACCUACUCUCACAAUAAUGGCAUUAAUCCAUUUAUGAGGGCAGAGCUUUUACAAACUAAACACCUCUUAAAGGUCCCAUCUCCCACCACCUCCACAUUGGGGAUCAAGUUUCCAAUACAUGAACUUUAGGGGACACAUUCAAACCAUGGCAUAGGUUAAUCUUUUACACAAUUGAAAUUCACUAGAAAGGUGAACAAACAAGAACAUGGAAUCCAUAGUCAAGACAAACAAACGCUGAGAUAUUUGAAUUACCAGACAAAAUCUUGGAAGGAGCUAUUAUGGUCAUCUUCAAAGACUUAAAGGGAAAUGACCACAAUGACUAAACAAACUUAUAAUUUUAUUGGAGAAAUGGAUAAAAGAAAUCAAAUGGAAAUUCCAGAAAUGAAAAGUACUGUAUCUGAAAUGAAAUGUUUUCUGGGUGGGUUUAGCCAGUAGACUAGAGAUGGCAAAAGAAACUAGCAUGAACUGAAGAUGAGUGAACUGAAGGUAAAAUCAAAAGCUAGAGAGAAAAUUUUGAAAAUAGCCAAAGGAACAAGGAUACAGAUGGUGUCUUAUAUCUCAUUUGAGCAGUGGAGCCCAGAGAUAAUGGAACAACAUAUUAAAUGUGUUGAGAUGAAAAAAAUUUGCUUGCCCAGAAUAUCAUAUCCAUCUAGAAUAUCAUUCAAAAGAGAAUGAAGAAAUUUUGUGAUCAAUGAAAGCUGAGAGAUUUUUUUUUUUUUUUUUUUUUGCCAGCUCAUCAACACUACAAAUCUAAAGCUGAAAGCUCAGGGUACGGUAAUGACAGAUGGAAACUUCAUUACAGAAAGCAAUGAAGAACACCCAAGUGGUAAAUAUGUGGGUGUAGACCAGACCCAUGACUUGCUCCUAAACAACAGAAUAUGACAAAUGGAAUGGCACGUCACUCCCAUGAUUAUGUGAUGUUAUAUGACUGUGUCUUGCUAGCUGGCUGGCUCCACAGACGUUCUCUCUCCCUUGCUGGCUGUGAAGAAGCAAGCUGCCAGAACUCCUAAAGCCACAUGGAGCUCAUUGCUGCCAAAAGGAAUUGGGAAGCAAAUCCUUCCCUAGCUGAGCCUCCAGUUGAGAGCCAGUCCUGGCCAACACCUUGAAUGUAGCCUUGUAAGACCUUCUGAGGAGGACCAAGCUAUGCCGUAUCCAGAUGUGUGACCUGCAGAAACUCUGAGAGCCUUUGAUGGGAAUUCAGCCCAGCUGACACCUUGAUGUCCACCUUGUGAUACCUUGGGAAGAAUCCCUGCCCCACCAUGCUGAACUUUUGAUCUACAAAACUGUGAGCUAAUAAAUGGAUGUUGUUUUAAGCAGCUAAGUUUGUGGUAAUGUGUUACACAGCAAUAGAAAACUAACAUACAUGGUUAUCUAUAUUAUUGUAGCUAUAUCUUUUACAUAUGCUGUAAAAAUUCUUUAGUGUGAUUUUAUUUUCUAAUAAACUUUUUCUUAAAAAAAAGAGAAAGCCAGAAAAUAAGUCUCUUGACUUCAGUGGGCCUUCUGAAUAGUGCAGGUGUAAAAAGGGGGAACGGAGGGAGUAUGAAAAGAAUGUAAAGAUUUGCCAUGCUCAAUAAUGAUGAUAUGCAUUCAAGACAUAUCAUGAGUUAUGGGUCAUGCCCAAAGCCUUUUAAUAAUAUGCCUUUUAUUAGAUGACAUAAAGUUACCAGCAAAGAUUAUAACAUUGAGCCAAGAAUGCAUACUAGUAUUUAUGGAGGCCCAGAAUUUGGAAAAUGAUUCAGUCCUGUUUAUUCUAUGUAAUGAUGUUAUUUUUGUACUAAACAUGAGGGUUGUAAAGGGAUUCUAUAUGUUAGUUUAAAUGUGUAAAUAUUUCUCUUAUAGCAUCCU
rnacentral:lncRNA from 10 species